AUAAAUUUGUUGCAAUGACGCGUGUUGAUCGUCUGGGAUGGGAGGGAGUCCAUCUCAUUCCACUCUCUCUCGAAAAUCUCAAAAAUGGCUCUCUGCAACUGGAGAACACUGAAUGAGACGAUUGUGGCCUACCCAAGCCUCUCUUCGGCUUCCUCUAUUCAACAGCACGCUCAUCUAAUUUAAAAGCUGGGGGAAAAACUGGGCUUUUCCAGAGACUUCUUUCUUUUCACCCCAUCACUCACCACCAAACCCACCUUUCCCUUCUUUUCUCUUUCAAAUCAAACUCUGUGAAAUCUUCAAAAUUCCGGCAAGUGCCUCUGGUGCGUCUUCUGCGACUUCGACUAGAACCCAUCUCGACUUCUCUCUCAGAACCCAGCUCGAGUCCUCAGGUAAAACCCUAUCCUUCCCCGGUUUUUUCUUCUCGGCAUCUUACAUACUAUUUGUUUCUUCGUAUUCUCUGUAUGUUUGGCUGAAAUUCUGAGUUGCCGACUCCCACUGUUUUCCUUCUCGACUCAUCUGCCAAAAUCUCUUCAGUUUCAACAGCAGCGGUCACCACUCUUCCCAAAGAAACAUGGACUUGCUUUGUUCUCUCUGCAGCGCUGCCCAUUUUCCACCAAAAUCACAUCUCGAACUCUUCCAAUUUCGAACGCGACAUGCCCGGCGAAGGGGCUUCUCAAACUCUAAAGAAAGGAAGCAAGAUGAUCAAAAGCAACAAUCUGCGUCACCUUUGUUUAAAAUAUUAAACUGAUCCUAGAUUCCUGAAGCUUAUGAUAAGCCUUCCUCUUUGGAAUGAAGCAACAAAGAAAAUAUCAUGCACUGGUCAGGUCCUCAAGAAUUGAAGAGCAAUGAUUUGGGGGACUGUUCGCUGUAAAGUAGCUUAGUCUCAGGUGCCGGGACAAGCGUGGAAGCUUAGGCAUGGAGUGUCCGCCCCAAGCUGUUACCGAGCUGUACCAAAAGUGGUACUGAGAAAUUGAGCUUCUGUUUCUGUUUCGCUUUUUAUUUGGUUACUGAAUAUAGGGUCUUGGAUGAGGUGUUUGGAUGUGUGACCGAUGGCAGUUCAUGUAACAUAUUUCCUUUGAUAUUAGUAUUUGUCUGUAGUUGUGUGGAAUAUCAUCUAAUAUCUUUUAUCCACAACAUGCUUUGUUUCUCGAUUUCUACAUUGAAAAAUAUGUAAUUAUUGGAGUUUUUUGUUGUUGUAAUUUCUCAGAUUUUGAGGGUUUUUUUUAUCCAGGCUCAAACUUUGGUCCGUCAUCUUUCAAAUCCCUCUAUACUCAAGUGGAAUGGAUGAGAAUGCUGUGGGUUCCUGUGCUGAACUCUUUUUUGCUCCAAUUGAUGCUUCUUUUGCUGAUGAUACACCUCUUCUACCUGCUGGUUUUCACAUCAUUCCUCUUGAUUAUGGGAAGAGAGCACAGUAUCCAGGAAGAGAGGUGAGGGAAAUAGGGAGAGUGCUAGAGACGAAGUGAGACAUGAGGGUGGUGGCAAGGUCGGUGCCUCGCCAGAGUGGCGAUUGAGGUGGUGAUGACUGGCUCUGAAUUAAUUGUCAGAAAUUUCAGUUUUGCUCUUUCUGUAAUAUUCUUCUUCCUUUUCAACUUAAGUAACAAUUUUGAGCAUGAUCAUGGAAAGUGGCUUUGCGGUGGAUUACUUUACAUCAAAGAAAAUGUGUGGAAAAUAGCAAUUUUAUAUAAUUGAUUUGGGAGUUAAUUGGAAUUUAAUUCAAUUCCUAUGUGUUUUAUUUAACUAAUAUUCGAAUUUUUAUUCUAUAGUUUACUAAUUUUGUGUGUUUAUUAAUUUUACAAUAUGCUAUCAGUGGUUUC